UACAGAGGUCCCAAGCGUUGUUCGGAUUCAUUGGGCGUAAAGGGUGCGUAGGCGGCGCGGUAAGUCGGGUGUGAAAUCUUGGAGCUUAACUCCGAAACUGCAUUCGAUACUGCCGUGCUUGAGGACUGGAGAGGAGACUGGAAUUUACGGUGUAGCGGUGAAAUGCGUAGAUAAUCGUAAGGAAGACCAGUGGCGAAGGCGGGUCUCUGGACAGUUCCUGACGCUGAGGCACGAAGGCCGGGGAGCAAACGGG
rnacentral:rRNA from 1 species